rnacentral:lncRNA from 1 species
UUUCACUGGCAGAAGUUAGUGGUGGCUAGAGCAAGACAGAAUGAAAUAGAGGACCUGGGAAGGGCCUAGAGACCCCCAAUAAACUGGGACCCCCCACAUGUAGGCACUGCACAAAUGCUUAAAGCAUUAGUAUUCGUAGAACUGCACAUCCUCCAGUGACCAAGAAAGAAGGGAAGGGAGAGCAUCCUGAAGUCAUACAGCAGGACAGGAUUCCACAAACUAAAAACUCAGAACUGAGUGCUGGAAGAAGUUUCCCUGAUAACUGAAGUGCUCUUGUUAUCAAUAUAAACCUGGCUAGAAGAAAACACCUUCAGAGCUGGAUUUGACUCCAGCCAGUGCUUAGAUCCUGGAAGAAGAUCCAAUGCUAUAGGAUUCUUUCAUUCCAUACAACUGAAAACCCCAUGGUAAGUGCACAAAGAAAAAGAGUCCAUUGACCAUGGCAUUAAAGAUUGUCUCUUUAAAUAGACUAGGCUCCUCGGUGGAAGAAGGGAGGUGUGA